rnacentral:rRNA from 1 species
AGAGAAUAGAUACCCAGGUAGUCCACGCCGUAAACGAUGGAUACUUGGUGUUGGAGGUAUUGACCCCUUCAGUGCCGAAAGCUAAACGCGUUAAGUAUCCCGCCUGGGAAGUACGGUCGCAAGAUUAAAACUCAAAGAAAUUGACGGGGGCCCGCACAAGCGGUGGAGCAUGUGGUUUAAUUCGAUGCAACGCGAAGAACCUUACCUGGUUUUGACAUGGUAGUGAAGACGGCAGAGAUGUCGUCGUCCUCGGUACGCGUAUCACAGUAGCUGCAUGGCGUGUCGUCAGCUCGUGUCGUGAGA